rnacentral:rRNA from 1 species
AAACUAACAAGGAUUCCCCUUAGUAGCGGCGAGCGAAGCGGGAAAAGCUCAAAUUUGUAAUCUGGCGCCUUCGGCGUCCGAGUUGUAAUCUCGAGAAAUGUUUUCCGUGUUAGACCGCAUACAAGUCUCUUGGAACAGAGCGUCAUAGUGGUGAGAACCCAGUACACGAUGCGGAUGCCUAAUACUUUGUGAUACAUUUUCGAAGAGUCGAGUUGUUUGGGAAUGCAGCUCAAAUUGGGUGGUAAAUUCCAUCUAAAGCUAAAUAUUGGCGAGAGACCGAUAGCGAACAAGUACCGUGAGGGAAAGAUGAAAAGCACUUUGGAAAGAGAGUUAACAGUACGUGAAAUUGUUGGAAGGGAAACACAUGCAGUCAGACUUGCUAUUCGGGGCAACUCGAUUGGCAGGCCCGCAUCAGUUUUUCGGGGCGGAAAAGCAUAGAGAGAAGGUAGCAGUUUCGGCUGUGUUAUAGCUCUUUAUUGGAUUCGCCCUGGGGGACUGAGGAACGCAGCGUGCUUUUAGCAUGAGCUUCGGCUUAUCCACGCUUAGGAUGCGGGUGUAAUGGCUGUAUAUGAC